rnacentral:rRNA from 1 species
GAUGAACGCUGGCGGCGUGCCUAAUACAUGCAAGUAGAACGCUGAAGGAGGAGCUUGCUCUUCUGGAUGAGUUGCGAACGGGUGAGUAACGCGUAGGUAACCUGCCUGGUAGCGGGGGAUAACUAUUGGAAACGAUAGCUAAUACCGCAUGACAACAGUUAUUGCAUGAUAACUGUUUAAAAGGGGCAACUGCUCCACUACCAGAUGGACCUGCGUUGUAUUAGCUAGUUGGUGAGGUAACGGCUCACCAAGGCGACGAUACAUAGCCGACCUGAGAGGGUGAUCGGGCACACUGGGACUGAGACACGGCCCAGACUCCUACGGGAGGCAGCAGUAGGGAAUCUUCGGCAAUAGACGGAAGGCUGACCGAGCAACGCCGCGGGAGUGAAGAAGGUUUUCGGAUCGGAAAGCUCUGUUGUAAGAGAAGAACGAGUGUGAGAGUGGAAAGUUCACACUGUGACGGUAUCUUACCAGAAAGGGACGGCUAACUACGUG